rfam:Ipomoea nil DNA, scaffold: scaffold0268, cultivar: Tokyo-kokei standard.
GACUCCAUGGCCCAAUGGAUAAGGUGUUGGUCUACGGAACCAGAGAUUCUGGGUUCAAUCCCCAAUUGAGUCA